CGCCAGACUCCUACGGGAGGCAGCAGUGGGGAAUAUUGCACAAUGGGGGAAACCCUGAUACAGCGACGCCGCGUGAGCGAUGAAGUAUUUCGGUAUGUAAAGCUCUAUCAGCAGGGAAGAAAAUGACGGUACCUGACUAAGAAGCCCCGGCUAACUACGUGCCAGCAGCCGCGGUAAUACGUAGGGGGCAAGCGUUAUCCGGAUUUACUGGGUGUAAAGGGAGCGUAGACGGCUGUGCAAGCCAGAUGUGAAAGCCCGGGGCUCAACCCCGGGACUGCAUUUGGAACUGUGUGGCUGGAGUGUCGGAGAGGCAGGCGGAAUUCCUAGUGUAGCGGUGAAAUGCGUAGAUAUUAGGAGGAACACCAGUGGCGAAGGCGGCUUACUGGACUGUAACUGACGUUGAGGCUCGAAAGCGUGGGGAGCAAACAGGAUUAGAUCCCCCGUAA
rnacentral:rRNA from 1 species